AGUCUCGCGGAAUCUUUUCCGCACAGACUCGCGCUCAUAGGCUCAGUGUGCGGAAACGCUUCUGCUGUAUU
rnacentral:pre_miRNA from 1 species